rnacentral:rRNA from 1 species
ACACUAACUGGAGGACCGAACCGACUAAUGUUGAAAAAUUAGCGGAUGACCUGUGGCUGGGGGUGAAAGGCCAAUCAAACCGGGAGAUAGCUGGUUCUCCCCGAAAGCUAUUUAGGUAGCGCCUCGUGAAUUCAUCUCCGGGGGUAGAGCACUGUUUCGGCUAGGGGGCCAUCCCGGCUUACCAACCCGAUGCAAACUGCGAAUACCGGAGAAUGUUAUCACGGGAGACACACGGCGGGUGCUAACGUCCGUCGUGAAGAGGGAAACAACCCAGACCGCCAGCUAAGGUCCCAAAGUCAUGGUUAAGUGGGAAACGAUGUGGGAAGGCCCAGACAGCCAGGAUGUUGGCUUAGAAGCAGCCAUCAUUUAAAGAAAGCGUAAUAGCUCACUGGUCGAGUCGGCCUGCGCGGAAGAUGUAACGGGGCUAAACCAUGCACCGAAGCUGCGGCAGCGACACUGUGUGUUGUUGGGUAGGGGAGCGUUCUGUAAGCCUGUGAAGGUGUGUCGUGAGGCAUGCUGGAGGUAUCAGAAGUGCGAAUGCUGACAUAAGUAACGAUAAAGCGGGUGAAAAGCCCGCUCGCCGGAAGACCAAGGGUUCCUGUCCAACGUUAAUCGGGGCAGGGUGAGUCGACCCCUAAGGCGAGGCCGAAAGGCGUAGUCGAUGGGAAACGGGUUAAUAUUCCCGUACUUGGUGUUACUGCGAAGGGGGGACGGAGAAGGCUAUGUUGGCCGGGCGACGGUU